rnacentral:rRNA from 1 species
GACGAACGCUGGCGGCGUGCUUAACACAUGCAAGUCGAACGGAAAGGCCCUGCUUUUGUGGGGUGCUCGAGUGGCGAACGGGUGAGUAACACGUGAGUAACCUGCCCUUGACUUUGGGAUAACUUCAGGAAACUGGGGCUAAUACCGGAUAGGAGCUCCUGCUGCAUGGUGGGGGUUGGAAAGUUUCGGCGGUUGGGGAUGGAUUCGCGGCUUAUCAGUUUGUUGGUGGGGUAGUGGCUUACCAAGGCUUUGACGGGUAGCCGGCCUGAGAGGGUGACCGGCCACAAUGGGACUGAGAUACGGACCAGACUCCUACGGGAGGCAGUAGUGGGGAGUAUUGCACAAUGGGCGGAAGCGUGAUGCAGCAACGCCGCGUGCGGGAUGACGGCCUUCGGGUUGUAAACCGCUUUCGCCUGUGACGAAGCGUGAGUGACGGUAAUGGGUAAAGAAGCACCGGCUAACUACGUG